rnacentral:lncRNA from 1 species
UUGUGCAUUGGGGUCCAUUCAAGAUGAAGCUGUUACUUGCCUUUGUUUUUCUUCUCCUCAUCUCUACAGGUACAGUUUAAUCUCUCUCUCUCUCCCUCUCAAGGAUGGAAACCAAGACAAACUCAGUCUUUUGUCCUUUUCACUUGUAUCCAAUGUAGUAGUAUAUAGAAAUAUUAGGUCACACAUAGGGGUAUGAGAACUAUCAUUCAAAUAUUCAAUCUAGAUAUGGAUCUUAGAUUUUUCUCAAGUGAUAAUGGUUUGAAAAAUCACAAAUCAGGAUAAGGAAUUGUUGAUUAUGAUUAAUGACUUAAAUCUGUUCUUCAAUCUAUGCCUUGGAUAAUUUGAGAUAUAUUGAAUCAUAAAAAAAAUUUAAAAACAUUAGGAAAAAAAAUCCUUCAUUUUUUUUGGUCAGUUCACCAAUGUGCUAAAUUUUGAUCCAUCCCACCUAUCCAUGUUUUAAAACACUUAAUGAUAUAGAGGGCUAUUUCAUAUCAAGAAUAUGGGACAUGUAAGAUUAAGUUUAGAUUUGGAAUUUGAUAUUUCUUGCUAUUUUGAUAAAUUUUUAAAGGAAAAAAUAUCCGUACAACCUCUUUUUAGGUUUCAUUUCUCAAUAGAUCCAAUGUUUAAAACAUAUCUGACGGUAUAGAGAUCAUAUGUACCGUUGGCAACCUUUAUCCCCUUCAACCUUAUUUUUUUAGUACAAACCAAAGUUAAAAAGAUAACUUUUUUUUUCGAUUCGUUUCUAACUUUCUCUCUCUAUUCCUUUCAAAACUUGUUUCUCUCUCUCUUCCUAUGCUUCUCCCAUAGAGAGAGGUUUGGGGAGAAUAAUGAGGAGAGAGAGAAAGAGAGAGAGGUCUGGGGAGAAACAUGGGAACAGAGAGAGAAAAAGAUUUAGAAGGGAAUGGAAAAAAUGAUGUUUUUUAAAUUUUUGUUUGGGCUAAAAAUAUAGGUUCAAAAGGGGUAAAGUCGGUCUAGGGUGUUAUAAGAUAUAACACAUGAGAAUUUAUGCAGCCAUAUGUAUUUUUAAACCUCGUUUAUUUUUAUUAAUGAAACCUAAAAAGAAGGUGUACUUUCCCAACUUUUAAAUUGAUCAUAUUCUAAUCUUAUUGUUUUUCAUUUUUGCUAAUUUGUAAAGAAACAAAAAAAAAAUUUAUAAAUAAAUCCUAUCUUAUAUUUUAUAUUUAAAAAGAGUCCCAUAUAUUUUAUAUUUUACAUUGAAGUCUCAUUUUUUGUGAAUACAUAGUGAAUUUUGAUUAUAUCGCUGAAAUAAUGCUUAAUUUUAUUUACAUUUCAUAAUUUACUGUCAGGUCCCAUUUUUUAGUCCUGAAAAAGUGUUGCAUUCACUAUUUUGUUCAUGAAGUGUGAUUAUAAUGUCACAAACCAAUGGUGCCUAAUAUCUGUACCAUAGGGCCUAUGGUUCACACUGUAUAAUACACCUUUGGAACACCUACAUAACCGAUGAUGAAAGUCUAAUGUUUAUUGGUGGGAGAUACCAUGGUUUUACAUUUUGGCAAAUUUUAGCUUUCCGCUACUGUAAUGAUAAAUAUCUCUUUAUUAAGAAAGAAGUGUCAUAAAUAAUGUGAUGUUUUUUAAAAAAUAUUUCUUUUAUGUGAUACUUUUUUCCAAUAAAGUCAACAUACUACUUGUAUUGCGUGCGGCUCUCAAACAUGAGAGCGACCAUCCGCUCUUACUAAGCCAAAUGAUUUUACACUCUCGCGGGAGUAUACUCUUUAUUUAGAACUUUAAUUUUGGGUAAUACCUAACAUAAAAGUAAUUUUAGAACUUUAAUUUUGGGGAUAUAACCUUUUAAACCCAUAGACUAAAUAAAAAAACUUUGGAAUUGUACUGGAAAAAAUAAUGUCUCAAGAAUGAACAAGGAUUGUCCAAUUUUUAACGGGUGAGAUCUAAAUGCCAAAAACUCAAAUUUCUUUUAAAAAUAAUCAUCUAGUGAUUCUUAGGUGGCUUCCAAACUUCAGAUUGAAAAAAUCCUACAAAGUAAGUCUUUUGAUUGAGGGAGUAGAUACGCAAUAUUACUUCCAUGGGUGGGUACUAAAACAUCCUCCCAAGUAGGUCAAAGUGCAUAAUGUACUUGCAAGGCCUAAUUUUUUCCUCUUUUCUCUCUCAAAAGUUUAUGGCAUGCUAUAAAGAACAAUUGUUGUACAAUACGUGGUCCAGAGGUAUACGCAUUCAUCUUAAAGAUGGAUACAAAUAGGUGGCCUAUCUAAAAACAAUUGUAACAAAUGGUCCAUAUGUUUUAUUAAUAUAAUUAGUAUUUCUAAUUUUCAAAAUUUAUUUAUUUUUUUCAUAUUCAUGAUCUUUGUGGUAAAGAUUCUAUAUUCUUUUAAAAUUAAAAUCAAAUUAUAUUUAAAAUAUACUUAUUGCCGAACCCACAUUUCUACAUGUGCAGGCUUAGCCUCAUUCUAACCGCAUCUUUUUUUUAAUGCAGGUGAAAUAGCAUCAAUUGUAGAGGCAAAGGAAUGCAGCCAGGAUAAUUUUAUCACCACAAUCUUUUGCGUCGGUUUCAUUUGUCGAUCCAAUUGCAAGUUGGACCAUUUCCGGGGACAUGGAAAAUGCCAUGACACUUUCAAGUGUAGAUGCACGUGGC